rnacentral:rRNA from 1 species
GAUGAACGCUGGCGGCGUGCCUAAUACAUGCAAGUCGAGCGAAUGGAUUAAGAGCUUGCUCUUAUGAAGUUAGCGGCGGACGGGUGAGUAACACGUGGGUAACCUGCCCAUAAGACUGGGAUAACUCCGGGAAACCGGGGCUAAUACCGGAUAACAUUUUGAACCGCAUGGUUCGAAAUUGAAAGGCGGCUUCGGCUGUCACUUAUGGAUGGACCCGCGUCGCAUUAGCUAGUUGGUGAGGUAACGGCUCACCAAGGCAACGAUGCGUAGCCGACCUGAGAGGGUGAUCGGCCACACUGGGACUGAGACACGGACCAGACUCCGACGGGAGGCAGCAGUAGGGAAUCUUCCGCAAUGGACGAAAGUCUGACGGAGCAACGCCGCGUGAGUGAUGAAGGCUUUCGGGUCGUAAAACUCUGUUGUUAGGGAAGAACAAGUGCUAGUUGAAUAAGCUGGCACCUUGACGGUACCUAACCAGAAAGCCACGGCUAACUACGUGCCAGCAGCCGCCGUAA